rnacentral:rRNA from 1 species
UACGUAGGGUGCGAGCGUUGUCCGGAAUUAUUGGGCGUAAAGGGCUCGUAGGCGGUUUGUCGCGUCGGGAGUGAAAACCAGGUGCUUAACACCUGGCUUGCUUUCGAUACGGGCAGACUAGAGGUAUUCAGGGGAGAACGGAAUUCCUGGUGUAGCGGUGAAAUGCGCAGAUAUCAGGAGGAACACCGGUGGCGAAGGCGGUUCUCUGGGAAUGACCUGACGCUGAGGCACGAAGGUCAGGGGAGCAAACGGG